rnacentral:rRNA from 1 species
AUUCCAGCUCCAAUAGCGUAUAUUAAAGUUGUUGCGGUUAAAACGCUCGUAGUCGGAUUUCGGGACGGGCCGACCGGUCUGCCGAUGGGUAUGCACUGGUGGGCGUCAUCUUUCUGUCGAGGACGCGCUCCUGUCCUUUAUUGGUCGGGACGCGGAGUCGGCGAGGUUACUUUGAAAAAAUUAGAGUGUUCAAAGCGGGCUUACGCUUGAAUAUAUUAGCAUGGAAUAACACUAUAGGACUCCUGUUCUAUUUUGUUGGUCUUCGGGACGGGAGUAAUGAUUAAGAGGAACAGUUGGGGGCAUUCGUAUUUCAUUGUCAGAGGUGAAAUUCUUGGAUUUAUGAAAGACGAACUUCUGCGAAAGCAUUUGCCAAGGAUGUUUUCAUUG